rnacentral:rRNA from 1 species
CGCAAGCCUGACGGAGCAACGCCGCGUGAGGGAUGAAGGCCUCUGGGCUGUAAACCUCUUUUCUCAAGGAAGAAGAUCUGACGGUACUUGAGGAAUAAGCCACGGCUAAUUCCGUGCCAGCAGCCGCGGUAAUACGGGAGUGGCAAGCGUUAUCCGGAAUUAUUGGGCGUAAAGCGUCCGCAGGCGGCCUUGAAAGUCUGUCGUUAAAGCGUGGAGCUUAACUCCAUUUCGGCGGUGGAAACUACAAGGCUUGAGUGUGGUAGGGGCAGAGGGAAUUCCCGGUGUAGCGGUGAAAUGCGUAGAUAUCGGGAAGAACACCGGUGGCGAAGGCGCUCUGCUGGGCCAUAACUGACGCUCAUGGACGAAAGCCAGGGGAGCGAAAG